AAAACUUGUAAAAAAAAUUUGAUUUGAAAUCUAAUUAAUUGUUUUUAUUAACAAUACAAGUUUUA
rnacentral:tRNA from 1 species